rnacentral:lncRNA from 10 species
CGGAAGCUCUGGGCAUUCCGGAGGGACUUCAGAGUCACAGAGAGCCUUGGACUUCGUACUCAAACAAACCAACUCUGAAAAGACAGGAGACAACCAGGGAAAUUUCAACACUGCUAGCAGAUUAUCACAAAGAAUUCAAGGGUCGUGUUUUAGGCAAGAGCACAAGGAAACAAGCAGAAGGAAUUCAGAGAAACAGCUCCAGGCUCCAGCUCAAAGGCCGACACCAAAAGCGAACACCUCUGGGCGCUCUUGCCUUCAAGAAGGUGGGGAGGCUCACAGACGCAGCAUCCACCCCUCGCAGGGAACCUCAGUUCCUGGCCUGUGGUCCCAUGAAGGACAUCAGGCUGGCAGAUUGGAGCACACCCCUUCUUUCUAACCCCUCUUGAAAGCUUCCUUGAAUCUGCCAGUCCUGCCCCCUGGAGCAGGAAGGAAAACAGAAGGCCUAGGACGCUAGAGGGGUCCCGAGCUUUCCGGAGCUCCAGCCACCAUCAGGUCUGACUGCUCAGGGACAGACACACCGACCACAUCCUGACCUCAGGAUGACCUGCGGAAGUACUUGGCAUUUCUUCUUAGCCAAAUCCCUUCAUUAAAAGACGGGUGAGGGUUCCAGCGCUGCCCUCUUCCUUCUCAAAACUCUUAUUUCAGGGCUGAAGCCCAGACGUCCAGCCCGUCAGAAAUCCCCUUAGCCUGAGCUUGGCACCCAGAAGCUAGAGAGUAAAUGCACAGGGGCCGGGGUCUGAGCCCUUCCGCAAGGAUGGGGAUGGGGGCCACAAUCCACACACACCACACCACAAACCACACACCACACACCCACACACCACACACACCACACCACAAACCACACACCACACACCCACACACCACACACACCACACCACAAACCACACACCACACAUUACACAGCACACCACACACACACACCACACACACCACACACCACAUACACACCACACACCACACACACACCAAAC